AGGGGAGACAGGGGAGGGUUUUCUGGCAAGCUUGACUCAAGUGGUCUACUGGCCUGCGUUCUGGCCUGUGGGCAAUAAGCAAAUACAGCACCACAGUCCCAAGGAGAAGAAGCCUCUCUCAUCAGGCAGAUCCAGUAAAAGCUAGCAUCUGAGUGUACAUCCGGUCCGGAACCUUCUCUACCACCCUGCUGCAGCAUGGUUAUCUGUUCCGUGUGUGUCCACACAGUGUACGGUACAGGCUUAGAGAGAAAGAAAAUUUACCCAAAAGAAAGUAGGGGAGAGGACAGAGGAGAGAGAACGAAAGAGAAGAAGAAUUCCCUCUCAGGGGUAUAUUAGUUGUUUUAGAAAGGAUGGUCUCUGUGUGUCGCCGGGGGUACUGGUAAAAAGGGGCAAUUCACAACCUACUUCAGGGAGAGUCCAACACACAAGGGCAGACCUUAGCUAACCUCGGAACUUACAGAGGGGCUCCCUACCCUCUGGUAGCCAAAGGUUAUAGUCAACAAGGAGCCCCAACAGCAGAUGGGAAGAAGGGGGAAAGGCUGGGGUUGUCUUUCACGCUUAGUCCAAGUCUCAGCUCUGCCCAGACCCCACCAUUAAGGCUUCAUCUUUUCAAGAUGCUGCCAGUCAUCCAUUCUCUGCCCCUCAAAACCACAGAUCCACAGGAACCCCUAGGCGGCUGCUCUGAAGGGCGCACCACCCCGCACCUGCCCACACCUCCCUAAAGCUCUUUGACGUGGCCAGCAAGCUCCGGAGAAGCUGCUAGAAGGCACGAGUCAUUAGAGACCUGCAAACAAACCACAGUGGCAUACCACUUCACAUCCGUUAGGUCGGCCACAGACAGGAAAAGGGGCAAAUAGCAAGUCUUGGCAAAGGUCUGCUGGCUGGUAGGAAUGUAAAAUCACUCAGUGGCUUUACAAAGGUCUGACAGCUCCUCAAAGUUAAAAAUAGUUACCUGAUGACUGAGCCAUUCCGCCCCAGGCAUAUGCCCCACGGAACUGAAAACAUGAACUCAAAUAAACACUUGUAAAUGAAUGCUCACAGCAGCACUUGCCAUGACAGCCAAAGAGUAGCAACAGCUUAGGUGUCUACCAACUGACAAAUGAAUAAACACUGGAAUCUACCCACACAAUGGAAUUAUUGAACUAUGAAAAAUAAUGAAAGGGUGAAGCGGUGAUUCAAGGCAGCCAAGGUGACCCUAGCAGGAACCAACUCAAAGAAAUAAACCAAAACAAACAUUCAAACAAAAUGAAUUUUGGCAUAUACUAUACCACUGGGUAGAUCUUUAAAAUGGUAAUACUAAAAGAUGCUAAAUAAAAGCCUUGCAUGAAAUCUUACACAGACAAUUCCAUACAUGUGAACCAUCCAGCGGAGUUUCAUCCAUAGCGAUGAGAAGCCGACUGGUGUUGCCAGGGGCUGGAAGAAGGAGGGGGACCAUGAGGUGUAUUGACUGUGUAUAUGGCUUCCUUUGGGGGUGAUGAUAAUGUCUUGGAAGUAUGCAGAAAUGACAGUCUCUCAUUAUGAAUGCACUCAAUGUCACUGAACUGUAUGCGUCCAUAAGGUUAAUGGUUAGUUCUAUGUCAAUUCGACAUCAAUUGUGUGUGUGUCACACCAACCCUUUAUGAGGCCAUCCUAAUUCAAGGGAGUUGUGUGUUUUCUACUGGAACAAAACAGCCUAUUACCUGGCCUGCGGAAUUACAGUUGUGACCCAGUACACUUCCCUCCUGUCUCCUUUAAGUCAGCCUAGUUCCUUGCAACCAAAGGCUUCUGAAUGGACAGUGCCCGCAAUGGCUUCCCUACUGUGUGACCCCAGAGAAAUGUUUCUCUUCUCUUGAGUCUUCUUCAGAUCUUCAUCAGCCCAGUAAACAGGGCUGAUCAUACCCAUUUCCUUAGGUUGCUUUUAGAUUAUUACAACAGCUCCUAUGAGAAUAUUAGGUGGAGUGCCGAGGGUGACUUCAUUCAUUCCUUGUGAUAUAAAUUAUGGUUCUCUCUCAGUGGCAGUAUUAACCGUCUGGAAGAACUGGUGUCAGGCUCACAUGAACAGGAAUGGCAGCUGUGUCACCAGCUUGCUGGAAGCUGAACUUGAACUCUGUCUCUCAACUGUGACCUUGGGAAAAUUGCUGCUCAGAGACUUAGUUCACUCACCUAUGAAAUAGGAAUAAUUAUAAGCAAGGAUAGGACAUAUCAGUAUUGGGGACGUGUAAGCUGUUAUCGUCAUUGUCAUAGAACAUAAAUACAGGGCCUAGGCACUGGCCAGUGGAGUUCAAGUUUACUUUGUCCAUGGCCUCCCUCCUUCCUUCUUGCCGGCAACUGCUUACAGAGUGUCUUCAUCACCAAGCGUCGUCACAGAGUCUUGGCUCAAGCAGAACUUUAGCUCCCCUAGACCAGGAGUUGGACAGCUAUGUCCCUGGUCACAAGCAUGGAUUCCAAGGAGUUUUCUGCUUCUCCACACCAAACAUGUCCACUCUUUCAACCAGGCCUUACCUACUGGGUUUUACAGCCACCUUAGGUUUCCUGGGUACACCACCAGACUACAUUUCCCAGACUCCUUUGACACGGAGGGUAAUAAUGGGUCAGAGUUCUAGCUGGGGAAGAAGGUGUGAGUCAUUCAGGGCUUUUAAGAUGGGGGUGUGUCUCUUCUGGCUCUUUCUACUCUGCCAAGGAAUGAACAAUAUGAGAAACUUUAAGGCCACAAAAGCAGAAGAGGCCUAUGUUCAAGUGUGAGCAUGAAAGGAAUCAGAAAUACCGAUUUUGAAGAAGAAGAAGAAGAAAAUAACUUCACAUUUUAGAAACACCGUAGGGGCUUUUUGUUGCUACAGAUACAGUUGCUUUAUUAGUUGACUGAACUGAAUUUUAUGCAAGAUAUCAUGAAUACACCCCAAAACUGUAUCUGAACGCAUCCUAAUGUUAGAACCCGUGGAUUUAAAUACCACAGCACUAAAAUUUGCUCUGGCAAGGUCACAGAAAACUAACGAAGACAAAGCAUCAUGAACAGCAAAAACAUCCAUGACAGCAUGUCAGACAUUUGAAGAAAAGCUUGGCCAAGGAAGGUUCACUGAGAAACAGACAGGGCGAGGUCCAUGAUACACGAACUGGGAUGCUCAAAAAUAGCUCCUGUAUGGACAAACAUCCUUCUCCCUUCUCAAGUAGACUAAUAUGUGUGGUGAUAUAUCGUUUAAGAUCUAAUAAAGCCACAGCCAUGGGGGCCAGGCAGUGUUGGCGCACACCUUUAAUCCCAGGACUCAGGAGACAGAAGAAGAUGGAUCUCUGUGAAUUCAAGGCCACCCUGGGAUAAAUGGGAGUGAAUCAGUCCAAAAGAGAAACAGAGACCACACCUUUAAUACCAGCACUGGAGAGAAUAUCAGGAGUUCAAUGCAGUCUCAAGAGCAAUCUGAGAUUUGAAGAGCAAUGAAGUCUGGAGGUUUGGUGGAUCACCCCUUUGGUUUGACAUUGGUAGAGCUGCUUUCUAGAUGACGACACUGAGGGCCUCAGAGGUUGGACAAGCAGGUUGAACUCACAGCCAACAGCAAAGUACCACGUCUAUGUAAAACCACAGUAGCAGGCAGUAGAACUGAAUUUCUCCAAGUGGCUUGGGUCAGUUUGAAGGCAUGUUUGAAGUAUAUACAUACAUACAUAUACUACUUCCUGGGAAAUUAUGUAUUAAAUUUCAAAAGGCAAAUAAAGAAACAUAUCUUUGGCCUAUCAACUAUACAAAAAAAAAAAAAAAAAAAAAAAAAAAAAA